rnacentral:rRNA from 1 species
UACGGGGGGGGCAAGCGUUGUUCGGAAUUACUGGGCGUAAAGGGCGCGUAGGCGGUUGGAUAAGUCAGCUGUGAAAACCACGAGCUUAACUCGUGGCCUGCAGUUGAGACUGUCUGGCUUGAGUGUGGGAGAGGAGAGUGGAAUUCCUGGUGUAGCGGUGAAAUGCGUAGAUAUCAGGAGGAACACCGGUGGCGAAGGCGGCUCUCUGGACCACAACUGACGCUGAGGCGCGAAAGCUAGGGGAGCAAACGGG